rnacentral:miRNA from 1 species
AUGAAAGCACCAAAUUGAUAGGACU